AGUCGAGCGGUACAUUUCUAGCUUGCUAGAAGAUGACGAGCGGCGGACGGGUGAGUAAUGCUUGGGAACAUGCCUUAGGGUGGGGGACAACAGUUGGAAACGACUGCUAAUACCGCAUAACGUCUACGGACCAAAGGGGGCUUCGGCUCUCGCCCUUAGAUUGGCCCAAGUGGGAUUAGCUAGUUGGUGAGGUAAUGGCUCACCAAGGCGACGAUCCCUAGCUGGUUUGAGAGGAUGAUCAGCCACACUGGAACUGAGACACGGUCCAGACUCCUACGGGAGGCAGCAGUGGGGAAUAUUGCACAAUGGGCGCAAGCCUGAUGCAGCCAUGCCGCGUGUGUGAAGAAGGCCUUAGGGUUGUAAAGCACUUUCAGUAAGGAGGAAAGGUUAGUAGUUAAUACCUGCUAGCUGUGACGUUACUUACAGAAGAAGCACCGGCUAACUCCGUGCCAGCAGCCGCGGUAAUACGGAGGGUGCGAGCGUUAAUCGGAAUUACUGGGCGUAAAGCGUACGCAGGCGGUUUGUUAAGCGAGAUGUGAAAGCCCCGGGCUCAACCUGGGAACUGCAUUUCGAACUGGCAAACUAGAGUAUGAUAGAGGGUGGUAGAAUUUCAGGUGUAGCGGUGAAAUGCGUAGAGAUCUGAAGGAAUACCGAUGGCGAAGGCAGCCACCUGGGUCAAUACUGACGCUCAUGUACGAAAGCG
rnacentral:rRNA from 1 species